GGAGUUAGCCGGUGCUUCUUCUGUGAGUGAUGUCCUUCCUGCCGGUUAUUGACCCGCAGGCCUUCUUCCUCACUGAAAGUGCUUUACAACCCGAAGGCCUUCUUCACACACGCGGCAUGGCUGGAUCAGGGUUGCCCCCAUUGUCCAAUAUUCCCCACUGCUGCCUCCCGUAGGAGUCUGGGCCGUGUCUCAGUCCCAGUGUGGCUGAUCAUCCUCUCAGACCAGCUACGGAUCGUCGCCUUGGUGAGCCGUUACCUCACCAACCAGCUAAUCCGACAUAGGCUCAUCCGAUAGCGCGAGGCCCGAAGGUCCCCCGCUUUCCCCCGUAGGGCGUAUGCGGUAUUAGCCUGGGUUUCCCCAGGUUAUCCCCCACUACCGGGCAGAUUCCUAUGCAUUACUCACCCGUCCGCCGCUCGCCACCAGGGAGCAAGCUCCCCGUGCUGCCGCUCGACUUUCAUGUGUUAGGCCUGCCGCCAGCGUUCAAUCUGAGCCAGGAUCAAACUCUGA
rnacentral:rRNA from 1 species